GACGAACGCUGGCGGCGUGCUUAACACAUGCAAGUCGAACGCUGAAGACCUGGCUUUUGUUGGGUUGGAUGAGUGGCGAACGGGUGAGUAACACGUGAGUAACCUGCCCUCUUCUUUGGGAUAACGCCCGGAAACGGGUGCUAAUACUGGAUAUUCACUGAUCUUCGCAUGGGGGUUGGUGGAAAGGUUUGUUCUGGUGGGGGAUGGGCUCGCGGCCUAUCAGCUUGUUGGUGGGGUGAUGGCCUACCAAGGCUUUGACGGGUAGCCGGCCUGAGAGGGUGACCGGUCACAUUGGGACCGAGAUACGGCCCAGACUCCUACGGGAGGCAGCAGUGGGGAAUAUUGCACAAUGGGCGAAAGCCUGAUGCAGCGACGCCGCGUGAGGGAUGGAGGCCUUCGGGUUGUAAACCUCUUUCGCUCAUGGUCAAGCCGCAACUGUGGGUUGUGGUGAGGGUAGUGGGUAAAGAAGCGCCGGCUAACUACGUG
rnacentral:rRNA from 1 species